AGCGCACUGUGGUGCGCGCGAGCGCGCACAAAACCGGGAGGAUGUAGUGCUUAGAAAAGUUGAACACUUUAAGGAAGGGAGUACAAAAAUCACCACUUAGAAGAUGCUGUAGAAGCCUUGGGACCACAGACCGUUUUCUCCAGGGACUACAUGGCUAAAUGGCAGGGAUGGUGAAGAACAGAAUAUGUGCCCAGUCGUGGUUUGCAAAGUCUUGACAGAAACUUCAAGGGAAUUAUUGUUAUUCUAUUUCUUCUUGACCAUGGAAUUGCCUGGUUGUGUCUGUUCAGUAAAAGGCAGAAGCAAGAUAAGAAGAGAUAAAAAGACUUAAAAAGUAAUAAGAAUGACCCGAGAGGCGGUGCUUGACUUUCCCGCUGUAGAAGAUUCAAACAGUACAUAUGUGUACUGAGGAAAAUGUGGGCGCCCCUUUGCUCGCUCCGGUUGAUCUUCUUCCUGAGGUAACGGUCAUUAACAGUGUAUAUAUCCUUUAAGCCCUGGUGUUCCUGGUGCUGUUGAGAACUCAUUGCCC
rnacentral:lncRNA from 1 species